UGCGUAGGCGGGCUAAUAAGUCAGUGGUGAAAUCUCUCGGCUCAACCGGGAAACUGCCAUUGAUACUGUUAGCCUUGAGUUCGGUUGAGGUAGGCGGAAUGUGUAAUGUAGCGGUGAAAUGCUUAGAUAUUACACAGAACACCAAUUGCGUAGGCAGCUUACUAGACCGACACUGACGCUGAGGCACGAAAGCGUGGGGAGCGAACAGGAUUAGAUACCCUGGUAGUCC
rnacentral:rRNA from 1 species